AUUUUUUCUCAUUUCAGAUUUCAGAAAUUAAAAAGAAUUAUUCUUCAAAAAAAUUUUUUUUUCAGAUUUCAAAUAUUGAAAAAUUUCAAGAAGUCUUUAAUUGCACAGUAUGGCGCAUUAGAUUUGUAAAAUCUUUGAUCACAUUUAUUUAUUUGUUAUGCCGAAUCUAACAGUGUAUUUAGAUUUUUAAUUUUGGGUCCAGUUUUCAAAUUGGUCUACAUUAAGGUCCAAAGGGUCCAAAAUUAAACUUUGUUUGAUUUUAACAAAAAUUGAAUUUUUAGGGUUCUUUGAUAUGCUGAAUCUAAACAUGUAUUUAGAUUUUUGAUUAUGGGCCCAGUUUUCAAGUUGGUCCAAAUCGGGGUCCAAAAUUAAACUUUGUUUGAUUUCAACAAAAAUUGAAUAUAUGGGGUUCUUUGAUAUGCUGAAUCUAACCAUGUAUUUAGAUUUUUUAUUUGUGGACCCCGUUAUCAAAUUGGUUCAUAUUGAGGUCAAAAGGGUCCAAAAUUAAACUUUGUUUGAUAUUUCAUCAAAAAUUGAAUUAUUGGGGUUCUUUGAUAUUCCAAAUCUAACCGUGUAUUUAGAUUUUUAAUUUUGGGUCCUGUUUUUUAAAUUGGUCUACAUUAAGGUCCAAAGGGUCCAAAAUGAAACUUAGUUUGAUUUUAACAAAAAUUGAAUUCUUGGGGUUCUUUGAUAUGCUGAAUCUAAACAUGUGUUUAGAUUUUUGAUUAUGGGCCCAGUUUUCAAGUUGGUCCAAGAUAGGGUCCAGUAUUUAAACUUUGUUUGAUUUCAACAAAAAUUGAAUAUAUGGGGUUCUUUGAUAUGCUGAAUCUAAACAUGUAUUUAGAUUUUUGAUUAUGGGCCCAGUUUUCAAGUUGGUCCAAAUUGGGGUCCAAAAUUAAACUUUGUUUGAUUUCAACAAAAAUUGAAUAUAUGAGGUUCUUUGAUAUGCUAAAUCUAACCAUGUAUUUAGAUUUUCUAUUUGUAGGCCCUGCUUUCAAAUUGGUUCAUAUUGAGGUCAAAAGGGUCCAAAAUUAUACUUUGUUUGAUUUCAUCAAAAAUUGAAUUAUUGGGGUUCUUUGAUAUGCCAAAUCUAACCGUGUUUUUAGAUUUUUAGUUUUGGGUCCCGUUUUUUAAAUUGGUCUUCAUUUAGGUCCAAAGGGUCCAAAAUUAAACUUAGUUUGAUUUUAACAAAAAUUGAAUUCUUGGGGUUCUUUGAUAUGCUGAAUCUAAACAUGUGUUUAGAUUUUUGAUUAUGGGCCCAGUUUUCAAGUUGGUCUAAGUUGGGGUCCAAAAUUAAACUUAGUUUGAUUUCAACAAAAAUUGAAUAUAUGGGGUUCUUUGAUAUGCUAAAUCUAACCAUGUAUUUAGAUUUUCUAUUUGUAGGCCCCGCUUUCAAAUUGGUUCAUAUUGAGGUCAAAAGGGUCCAAAAUUAAACUUUGUUUGAUUUCAUCAAAAAUUGAAUUAUUGGGGUUCUUUGAUAUUCCAAAUCUAACCGUGUAUUUAGAUUUUUAAUUUUAAGUCCCGUUUUUUAAAUUGGUCUACAUAAAGGUCCAAAGGGUCCAAAAUUAAACUUAGUUUGAUUUUAGCAAAAAUUGAAUUCUUGGGGUUCUUUGAUAUGCUGAAUCUAAACAUGUGUUUAGAUUUUUGAUUAUGGGCCCAGUUUUCAAGUUGGUCCAAGUUGGGGUCCAAAAUUAAACUUUGUUUGAUUUCAACAAAAAUUGAAUAUAUGGGGUUCUUUGAUAUGCUGAAUCUAACCAUGUAUUUUGAUUUUGGACAUUGGACCAUAAUAGGUAAAUUAAAAAAAUUCAAGUUCUUAGACCACAUUCUUUCUGUGUCAGAAACCUAUGCUGUGUCAAAUAUUUAAUAACAAUCCAAAUUCAGAGCUGUAUCAAGCUUGAAUGUUGUGUCCAUAUUUGCCCCAACUGUUCAGGAUUCGACCUCUGCGGUCGUAUCAAGCUGCGCCUCAGCGAAGCAUUUUAUUUCCAUUUUAAGUUGGUUAUUUCUGAUUUAUAUUUAAAAGCAAAUAAUAAUGAUAUGGUAGGAGAUACACACCAAACAGGAUGUGUAAAUUAUUAUAUAAUAAUUAUUGUGCAAUAGCAAGAAAUUUUCAAUUGCACAGUAUUGCACAAUAGCAAGAAAUCUUCAAUUGCACAGUAUUGCGCAAUAACAAGAAAUCUUCAAUUGCACAGUAUUGCGCAAUAGCAAGAAAUAUCCAAUAGCAAGAAAUUGUCAAUUGUACAGUAUUGUGCAAUAGCAAGAAAUAUUCAAUUGCACAGUAUUGUGCAAAAGAAGAUACUACGUAUAAAUUGCUUAUUUCUUGAUCAAUUUCAAUGGGGUUUUAUUCUUGAAUUCUUGGAGUUCUUUAAUAUGCUGAAUCUAACCGUGUACUAAGUUUUUGGAUUUUGGGCCCCGUUUUUAAAUUGGUCCACAUUGAGGUCCAAAGGGUCCAAAAUUUAACUUUGUUUGAUUUCAUCAAAAAUUGAAUUAUUGGGGUUCUUUGAUAUGCCGAAUCUAACCGUGUAUUUAGAUUCUUAAUUUUUGGUUUCGUUUUCAAAUUGGUCUACAUUAAGGUCCAAAGGGUCCAAAAUUAAACUUAGUUUGAUUUUAACAAAAAUUUAAUUUUUAGGGUUCUUUGAUAUGCUGAAUCUAAACAUGUAUUUAGAUUUUUGAUUAUGGGCCCAGUUUUCAAGUUGGUCCAAAUCGGGGUCCAAAAUUAAACUUUGUUUGAUUUCAACAAAAAUUGAAUAUAUGGGGUUCUUUGAUAUGCUGAAUCUAACCAUGUAUUUAGAUUUUUGAUUUUUGGGCCCCGUUAUCAACUUUGUCUACAUUGAGGUCAAAAGGGUCCAAAAUUAAACUUUGUUUGAUUUCAUCAAAAAUUGAAUUCUUAGGGUUCUUUGAUAUGCUGAAUCUAACCAUGUAUUUAGAUUUUGGAUAUUGGACCAUAAUAGGUGAAUGUCCAAUUUAAAAUUUUUAAGUUCUUAGACCACAUUCAAUCUGUGUUAGAAACCUAUGCUGUGUCAAAUAUUUAAUCACAAUCCAAAUCCAAAGCUGUAUCAAGCUUGAAUGUUGUGUCCAUACUUCCCCCAACUGUUCAGGGUUCGACCUCUGCGGUCGUAUCAAGCUGCGCCUUGCGGAGCAUUUUAU